ensembl:lncRNA
UCAGGGAGAGAGCGCUCAGGCGUUUUUUAUUAUUCCUGUAAGGACUUUUCUGAAGAUCGAUCUUUUCCGUCUGGCGACAGCUUUUCACUCACUUCAAUGAGGAAUAAUGCAGUGUGUAUAGCUGUGGAAAUGGGUUAUUAUAAUUAGAAUAGUUUCUCAUAAACUCUCAAAACAUGUACAUCACUUUUCAAAGCUUUCAGAGGAGUGUUUUGCUUUGACUCGAAAUUAUUACUCUAAUAGGACAACUCAGUGUAAAAUCCCUCUUAACGAUACAUUCAUGUAAAAAUAAAAUGACAGACACAAAACUCUUUGGAAACACUUAAAAAGAAGGCAUACAAUGUGAGAAAAUGAAGACAUAUACUUAUCCUCACUGGCCGACAGAGGACUGUAAUGCUCAUUCAUUUAAAAAACAAAAGAAAAAGAAUAAUCAGUGCUGUGAUCAUAGCAGGAAUGUAUAUCUGGUUACAGACAACCAGAGUAAAACAUUUAAUCAAACCAUAAGUUUCCUACAUCUACAGCAGCAUCCUAGUUACACAGAAGAGACAGAGAGGGGAAAAAAAUGGAAAUUUUUCAAAAUGAUAUAUAGAUAUCUACAUGUACACCAAACAAUCCAGGUUCUUUAGAUGAGUAUUUUAAGGUACAUUUAAUUGCUAAGAACCCUAUAACCGUCUAUAUGUUCCUUCUCCGUGUUUAAAAUGGCUUUAAUUACACUCAUAUACACUCACCAGCCACUUUAUUGGGUACACCUCCCUAGUUUUAAUUCUUCGUGGCAUAGAUUCAACAAGGUGCUGGAAACAGUACUCAGAGAUUUUGGUUCAUAUUAACAUGACAGCAUCACACAGUUGUUGCAGAUUUGUCGUCUGCAAAUCCAUAAUGAGAAUCUCCCGUUCCACCACAUCCCAAAGGAGCUCUGUUGGGCUGAAAUCUGGAGACUAUGGAGGCCAUUUGAGUGCAGUGAACUCAUUGAAAUGUUCAAGAAACCAGUUUGAGAUGAACUGAUCUUUGUGACAUGGUGUGUUAUCCUGUUGGAAGCAGCCAUCAGAAGAUGGGACAUAAAGAGAUGGUCGUGGUCAGUAACAGUAUUCAGGUGGGCCGUGGUGUUCCAUCCCCCCUACUACUACUUCCCUCUGUUAAUACUAUCCAUAUGUAUAUAGCGCUGCAGAACUGUGUCCCCCCCCAGCAUGUUUGCACUGAGUAGGAGAUGCUCUGUAUCUCAUUGUACAACUCUAAGAAAAUAUCCCCCACACCAUUACACGACGACCAGUCUGAACCGUUAAAACAAGGCAGGGUGGAUCCAUGCUUUCCUGUCAUUUAUGGCAAAUUGGGACCCUAACAUACGGAUCUCACAAAGAUAUAAAGACUCAUCAGACCAGGUAGCAGUUUUCGAAUUUUCUAUCAUCUAACUUUGCCUGUGUGGAUUGUAACCUUAUCUUACUGUUCUUAGUCUACAAAAAUGGCAGCCAGUGUGGUCUUCUGCUGCUGUACUCCACACUGAUCAUUUAGAGAUGGUCUUCUGCAUCCUUUGGUUGUACCGGGUGGUUUACUGUUGAAUUCCUGUGAGCUCGAAGCAGUCUGUCCAUUUUCC